CGCCGGGGAGUCGUUGAACCCCUCCGCGCCAGGGUCGGCCGGGAACCAUUCUCCCCUCCCCAAGCCCGGAGGCAGGACUUUGCCGCAGGACGGGGCGGGGAGCCCGCGAGAGUGACCCCCACGGGAGUGAACGCCCUCCCUUCCCGGCAAAGAUCGCCAGCUCGCCCCGGGAGCGGGUGGCCUGCAGCCCGAUCUUCAGCCAAGGGACCACGAUUCGCCGGGGGCUCGGUGUUUGGUCUUCCCAGGACCGUGCUGCGCCAGGGCCCUGAGCCAUAAAGGGAAUGGGGGGAGGGGUGGGGAGAUCCCAGCUCCGAACCCUUUUUCGCCGCUAGCUCUUGUGUAUCCUCUGUGCAGGAGUGACUCGGGCUUUCCCCCAAGACUCAGGGGAAGAAGGGAGCUAUAGGGGCUCUUUAAUAAGCUGAAGCUCUCGCAAGGAGGGCACCAAAAGUAGUGGAGCUCAGGUACGUCAACCUAGUUGCAGUGGCCACAGAUGCAUUUAAUUUAUAGAUCCCUGUAUAUAGUUGUUGACAUAUGCACUAGAAGCUAUAAUUACACAGAACUAUACGUAUCCUCCCACAACCCUGGGUAGCUACCCACUGAUGGGGUCGUGCAAGGGCUAUUUGCUGGCCCCCAAAGUGCAGCUAGCCAGAAGGGCACAAACACUGUUUUUUUCACCACCCACUCUCUUCCCCCUAUUUCAGAAAGAUAGGUUUAUGACCCAAAAGAGUAUAAUCAUCCUUAGACUUGAAAGGACAGUGGAAAACCUUAGGAGAAUUAGAAGCAGUUUAGGGAGGGUGGAGAACGAACUAAUCCCCACCUCUUCCCACCCUAGUGCCCCCAGGGAUGAGGCUUCCUGUUGUGGCCCUAAGUAUCUGGAUAUGGGCCAGGGAAGAAGGAAAAGAGCAAUGCCUCUGUGCUUCAAUCCUUGGCCUUCUCCUCACAGAGAGAGUUCUCUUAGGAAGAGCAAGCUUUUGAGGACAUCUGGGAGUCCAGUCCCCUGUCCCCAUCCCUGCAUUCUGGACUGUUGAAUCCACUUUGGGAUGGAUCAAAGAGUCUAGAGAGACCACUCAUAGGUCCAGCUGCUGGCCUCCUGACUCUAAAGCCUUCACUGGAAUUGGGACAUUAGCUCCAGCUCUAGCUGUGAACAUGACCAGAGACAUUAUUUAUAAUUCAGCCAUUUAAGAUAUACCUGUCCUCAAAAAGUCCUGUAUAUUUUUUAAAAGUUUUAUUUUUCAGGUGAACAAAAAUACAUUCUAAGAACUCUCCAUAAGCCUGUGUAAGUUGACCAUUUCUUUUUUGUACUCCUUGGGGAAGGAGUAGAGGUUGGAAGAAGAGAUGGUCUGAGAGGUGGUGGAUGGAUGAAUAGGUGUAGGAAGAAAAAGCAAUCGCCCUGAGGUUUGCUGUGCCCGAUGGCUUGACAGAACUGAUUAGUGAAGGGCGGCAGGACUGCCUCUUAGUCGGGAAGCAGUCAUGAGGUCAGACGAGCAGUGAUGUCUAGCUCAGCCACCUUUUACCAACCUUUAAAAAUCUUUAAAAGGUUCUGCUCUUAAAGGAUUCUGGGCAGAUGUCUAGCUGGGAAGCUAAGGGACCAGUGAGUAUACAUAUUAAGAGUUAUUACCCCCCAAAAAUUUACAAACACGGAGCUGGCCGAGAGCUGAGGCGGGGCUGAGCCACCUAACAGCAUCAGUGUUCUCGCCGGUAAACCGUCGGCCCCUGGACAGUUCAAGAAGGGCUAACACUGGAGAGACGCACUGCUGUACCUGCAGGGGUUGGUCAGAGCUGUCUACAGGGGAGCGGGCGAGAGAGCCAAAGGGCUGAGAGGAGGUGUAGGUUGCUUCAUAGGUGAGGCUUUUCCUCCCCCUAAAGCAAACAAGAAAAGACAUGUGGGUGAACAGCAAAAUAUGAGGGAUUAGUUCUGCUGCAAAAUACACGGCCCACAGUUGAGCUGAGCUCAUUAUUAGACAAUGCUGCCCAGUACAAAGCGGAGCGAGAAGCCAGUGUCGGUGGGGCCCCCUGAGGCCUGCACUU
ensembl:lncRNA